UACGUAGGUGGCAAGCGUUGUCCGGAAUUAUUGGGCGUAAAGGGUGCGUAGGCGGCUUUUUAAGUGGGAUGUGAAAUCCCGGGGCUUAACCCCGGAACUGCAUUCCAAACUGGAGAGCUAGAGUGCAGGAGAGGAAAGUGGAAUUCCCAGUGUAGCGGUGAAAUGCGUAGAGAUUGGGAGGAACACCAGUGGCGAAGGCGGCUUUCUGGACUGUAACUGACGCUGAGGCACGAAAGUGUGGGGAGCAAACAGG
rnacentral:rRNA from 1 species